UGGGUCCACACAUCGCAUAACGUCACAACAUAUCACAGCGCAUGGUGUCAUUGUAUCACGACUCUCACGACAUGUGAGACAGCACAGCACAGCGAGACAUAGUGAUGAGGACGGUUCCAGCGAUGCAGUGACCUACUCCUCAGUGAGAGCCUCUCCCAGAUGUGGAGAGAAGGCUGGUGGGGACGUACACUACGCCACCGUCAACAAACGGGGAAAAUGACAAAACAUCUGUAGAUGAGUACGGGAUGAAACAGAGCCAGCAGCAACCGGCAGUAGCAAUUAAGGUUGUAUUCAAGUUUAGUAUAUUAAUAGUAAAAAUAAAAUAAAUUGGAUCAAUAAUCUUCUGAAUGAAUUGCUGAACUUUCAUAUGAGAGAAGAUAAGAGGGAAAACCUACAAUUGCUGAAGAAAUUGUACUUCACUUCCAUUACAUGCUUAGAUGUGUGUAUAUUUGUGUGUUUAUCUAUGUGUACAUUAUGUUCCUGUAUGUGUACGUAUGUAUACUUAUGUGUACGUAUGUUUGUGAAUGUAUGAACUAGUUCUAUGGUACCAGCAGUUAAUUUCCGACCACUUUGUGAGCUCAGCUUGUCACGUUUGCAGUGUUGGGGAGUAACGGAAUACAUAUACCGGCGGGGGUCAUGCCUAUGUUCCCCGGGUCCUAUGUUCCCCACUCGGGGAACAUAGGACCCCCCUCUUUUUUUUUAAGUCCUUUGUUUCCCGUUUUUCCCAAAAAGGGUCCAAUGCUCCCCGGUAUCGUAUUGCUACAGGGGAACAUAGGACCCUAAUUGGGAAAAACGGGGAACAUAGGACUUUAAAAAAAAAAAAUGGGUCCCCGAGCGGGGAACAUCGGACCCGGGGAACAUAGGGAUGACCCCGCAACACCUAUGCACUCAGUUCAGUGAAAAAAAUGUUUGAUGUAAUAGCAAAUAUCUUUCGCAUUAACAUACCCUUAUAGUCUUUGUUCCACUACAGCAAAUUAUAUAAAAUAGUACACUUUCAGGGAGACUUGGGCCUAAUACAUUCAGCCAGUUUGAACAGAAGAACACACCAGAAUAGGCCUGUUUAGUAAGCAGGAUUUGAUGCCGCAUUCUUACACUUAUAAAAUGCAGUUCAAUGUGGAAGUAAUCCAAGUGUUCAGAGUACAAUACUCAGAUUGAGUGAUGAAACGGAAUACGUUACAUAUUACAUUUUUGGGCAUGUAUUCUGUGUUCUGUAACUGGAUACAAUUUAAUAGUAAACUUCCCAACACUGCUAGUCUGUUCUUUAAACAGAUGU
ensembl:lncRNA